rnacentral:rRNA from 1 species
AGUCGACGAUGAAUCUUCUAGCUUGCUAGAAGUGGAUUAGUGGCGCACGGGUGAGUAAUGCAUAGGUUAUGUGCCCUUUAGUCUGGGAUAGCCACUGGAAACGGUGAUUAAUACUGGAUACUCCCUACGGGGGAAAGUUUUUCGCUAAAGGAUCAGCCUAUGUCCUAUCAGCUUGUUGGUGAGGUAAUGGCUCACCAAGGCUAUGACGGGUAUCCGGCCUGAGAGGGUGAUCGGACACACUGGAACUGAGACACGGUCCAGACUCCUACGGGAGGCAGCAGUAGGGAAUAUUGCUCAAUGGGGGAAACCCUGAAGCAGCAACGCCGCGUGGAGGAUGAAGGUUUUAGGAUUGUAAACUCCUUUUGUUAGAGAAGAUUAUGACGGUAUCUAACGAAUAAGCACCGGCUAACUCCGUGCCAGCAGCCGCGGUAAUACGGAGGGUGCAAGCGUUACUCGGAAUCACUGGGCGUAAAGAGUGCGUAGGCGGGGUAAUAAGUCAGAUGUGAAAUCCUGUAGCUUAACUACAGAACUGCAUUUGAAACUGUUACUCUGGAGUGUGGGAGAGGUAGGUGGAAUUCUUGGUGUAGGGGUAAAAUCCGUAGAGAUCAAGAGGAAUACUCAUUGCGAAGGCGACCUGCUGGAACAUUACUGACGCUGAUGCACGAAAGCGUGGGGAGCAAACAGGAUUAGAUACCCUGGUAGUCCACGCCCUAAACGAUGGAUGCUAGUUGUUGCCUUGCUUGUCAGGGCAGUAAUGCAGCUAACGCAUUAAGCAUCCCGCCUGGGGAGUACGGUCGCAAGAUUAAAACUCAAAGGAAUAGACGGGGACCCGCACAAGCGGUGGAGCAUGUGGUUUAAUUCGAGAUACGCGAAGAACCUUACCUAGGCUUGAC